rnacentral:rRNA from 1 species
UACGUAGGCAGCGAGCGUUGUUCGGAGUUACUGGGCGUAAAGGGUGCGUAGGCGGUUUUCCAAGUUUGGUGUGAAAUCUCCCGGCUCAACUGGGAGGGUGCGCCGAAAACUGGAGGACUGGAGUACCGGAGAGGUAAGCGGAAUUCCUGGUGUAGCGGUGAAAUGCGUAGAGAUCAGGAGGAACACCUGUGGUGGUAGACAGCUUACUGGACGGUGACUGACGCUGAGGCACGAAAGCGUGGGUAGCAACAGG